AGAGUUUGAUCCUGGCUCAGGAUGAACGCUAGCGGCAGGCUUAACACAUGCAAGUCGAGGGGUAUAAGUCUUCGGAUUUAGAGACCGGCGCACGGGUGCGUAACGCGUAUGCAAUCUACCUUUCACAGAGGGAUAGCCCAGAGAAAUUUGGAUUAAUACCUCAUAGUAUAGCUGAACCGCAUGGUUCUACUAUUAAAGUCACAACGGUGAAAGAUGAGCAUGCGUCCCAUUAGCUAGUUGGUAAGGUAACGGCUUACCAAGGCUACGAUGGGUAGGGGUCCUGAGAGGGAGAUCCCCCACACUGGUACUGAGACACGGACCAGACUCCUACGGGAGGCAGCAGUGAGGAAUAUUGGUCAAUGGACGCAAGUCUGAACCAGCCAUGCCGCGUGCAGGAUGACGGUCCUAUGGAUUGUAAACUGCUUUUGCACAGGAAGAAACAACUCUACGUGUAGAGUCUUGACGGUACUGUGAGAAUAAGGAUCGGCUAACUCCGUGCCAGCAGCCGCGGUAAUACGGAGGAUCCAAGCGUUAUCCGGAAUCAUUGGGUUUAAAGGGUCCGUAGGCGGUUUAGUAAGUCAGUGGUGAAAGCCCAUCGCUCAACGGUGGAACGGCCAUUGAUACUGCUAGACUUGAAUUAUUAGGAAGUAACUAGAAUAUGUAGUGUAGCGGUGAAAUGCUUAGAGAUUACAUGGAAUACCAAUUGCGAAGGCAGGUUACUACUAAUGGAUUGACGCUGAUGGACGAAAGCGUGGGUAGCGAACAGGAUUAGAUACCCUGGUAGUCCACGCCGUAAACGAUGGAUACUAGCUGUUGGAAGCAAUUUCAGUGGCUAAGCGAAAGUGAUAAGUAUCCCACCUGGGGAGUACGUUCGCAAGAAUGAAACUCAAAGGAAUUGACGGGGGCCCGCACAAGCGGUGGAGCAUGUGGUUUAAUUCGAUGAUACGCGAGGAACCUUACCAAGGCUUAAAUGUAGAUUGACCGGUUUGGAAACAGACUUUCCGCAAGACAAUUUACAAGGUGCUGCAUGGUUGUCGUCAGCUCGUGCCGUGAGGUGUCAGGUUAAGUCCUAUAACGAGCGCAACCCCUGUUGUUAGUUGCCAGCGAGUCAUGUCGGGAACUCUAACAAGACUGCCAGUGUAAACUGUGAGGAAGGUGGGGAUGACGUCAAAUCAUCACGGCCCUUACGCCUUGGGCUACACACGUGCUACAAUGGCCGGUACAGAGAGCAGCCACUGGGCGACCAGGAGCGAAUCUACAAAACCGGUCACAGUUCGGAUCGGAGAG
rnacentral:rRNA from 1 species